UAUUGUUUGAAAUUCCUCAGUCAGGCUCAGUUGUUCUCAUGAAGUUAAUCCCAUAACUAAUGAAGAUCAGUGAGCAGGAGCCGUGCACAUUACUGUGUGUCUGUCUGUGUCAGGUUGUGACCUGUCCCUCAGGGCGGCUGCCCCAGCUCUCUCUACAUGGCUUGACUGGACACACUGAGCUGUGGACUGCACUGCCCCGUCCUGCUAAUUAGAGGAAACCAGCAGAAUGUCCUCACCUUCUACUGCCGGGUGGAGGCCAGGACUGGGCACCUCUGCACUAGUGUACCUCAGAGAUGUCCAGUUCAAGUUCCAGAGAUCUACCACCCUGCAGAGUUCAGCUCCAACCCUGAUCUGACACACCUGAUCCAGGUAAUCAAGGCCUCCAGGCACAUCUGAAUAUUAGAGCCAGGUGAGUUGGAUGUGAGCUUUUCAGAGUGAUGGAUCUCCAGGAGCAGGACUGAGCGCCUCGACUGUAACUCUUACCUCAGUUAAACAAAAUCGCAAAUAAAACAGUGACUUUUUAUUAUUAUGACUUCAUUUACGAGGCUGUAAAAAUCCAAGUUUUGCUGGCCAGAAACUUUGAUUUUACAAGACAUCGAUUUCUUGAGGAUCAGGGUUUGUAUAGCGAUGCAUGACUCUGUGUUUUCUGUUGUCGACUGCACUAAAUUUAAAGCCAAGGCUGCAUCCACAACCGCGUACUACUACUAUAUCAUACAUACUGUAGUGCACUUUGCUAUUAAAAGAUACACAGCUUUCGCACAAGUCAUGGUGCUUUAUUCUUCAGCUGUUUUUUGUCCACAGCUACAGCAUACAUAAGGUUUUCUCUUUACUAACACACUACAGUUUUGUUGCUUUUGGUUGAAGAUGAAAAAAACAACAUUAAAUCAAUGUUGAAUGUUGAUUGAUGUUGAUUGACUGAAUCAAUAAUGAAUUAUAGUUUGUGGAUCAACAUGGCCAUAGUAAAUAUGAGCUAAGACAGACUGAUAAUACACCUUCACACAUUUACAGACUUGUAGAAAAGGCAAACAUUUCAUUUCAGUUUUAGGGAUAAAAUAUUACUAACGUGGUUUUGAGGAUGGAGCUCAUGAGUCCCCCUAAAUUAACACAUGAUCCAUAUAUUAGGAUUUGUUUCACCAUGGCAGCAAAACCAAACACUGUAGGGUGACUGGAUAUGUGGAUAUAAGCUCAAAACAAUAGGUACAGAGUAGAGGUAACAAUUAGCCCUAGAAUAAAACAUACAUAUCUAUAGAGAGAAUUCUACAGAAAUCUUUAAGUGCUUUUGGUUUUAAUCAGGGUGUGGGUAUCCACUCUCCUGUCCUCCUAAAGAACCUGUAUAGAACCAUCUUUUUGAAGGGUAUAGAGAAGGAACGCCUAUUAAACUUAUCACUAUAAGUUAACUUAUCAAAUAGAUUUAUUUAUAUGUUCUGUAUUUUUAAACAUAUUCUGUUUCAUAUUCUGAAUGUUGUUUACAUAUUUUUCUACAUAUGAUAGUUUUACUGGUUGGAUAUUCUGAAAUAACCAUCACAUUAUAUUAUUUAGACUGUGAAAUCUGCCUAGCAACCAAAUGCAUUUUUAUUGGCUGUAUUUGGGCCAAUCAUUUUAAAGAAAAACGUCUUUUGUACCAUCAGUUGCCUCCGCCAUGCUGUCAUCAUUCUGUACACCUGCAUUUCAUUCGUCUUUAAUCGCAUAAUCGGUGGGUUGAACCACUGGGAAGAUUUGCCAUCCAAAAACAGCUGUUUAACGUUAACGUUAAAUUCCUUCUUUGCCUGUGAGAGCUGUGUUUUAAUGUAACGGUAGCCUUGUGCUAGUUCACAGUGUGGAGCUUUUUCUAGAGAGUAACAAAAGGUGUUUGGUGAUGAUUAUAGUAGCAAAUCCAUCAUGAUAGACAGUGAAAAUUAAAGUAAAUCAAAAAUGUGUGGUGCAAUAGAACUUAAUUUAAAACCUAGAUUAACAAAUCCUAGAAUCAGGUAUAAACUCUGAUUAAUUUAAGUUCUUCACACUUGGAACUGUUAACUGGGAAUUUUACCAAUUAUUCAACGUCAGAAUAAUUCAGUCACUGUUAUGUGAACAUUUCAUUAGAGGUGGGCAGUUUGACCACUGCUGUCAUGAUAAGUUACUGGAAUAAGCAGUGUCUUUUUCUGAGCAUGUGGUGGACAUUAAACAUUGACCAGUUGCGUGUUCCAUUUAAAAAGUGUGCAGCAAAUUUUGAAUGAAUUGUACUCAUUUAUGAACAUCUGGCACGGCUGGGAAAUUUUCUCUGUCACAAUAUCAUAAUAGGUAUUGUGUAAGGUGUAGUGGUGUAACGGAUCGUAGUUGAUCCAGGACCCCCAUGGAUGGUUGCGUAUCACAUGUACGGCUCAUGUUAAGCCCAUUUCACACCAGACACAGUAAACGUGCUACAAGCAAUAAUUAAGCAAUUAAAUUAGUGUUGUGCGAUAUGACCAACAUUUCAUAUAUCCUGAUAGCAUUAUCACAAUAUAGCACAUCUACUGUAAAUUAAAUCAAUACAUUUUAUUUUCAUAAAAUGAACAGAUUGAAAGUAGGGCUGUGUGAUAGGGACCAGAAAUCAUAUCUUAAUAUUGUUACGCUAAGUGGCCAUACAUGAUAUACAGUAUUUCUGUGUAUUUUCUACAAAGUGGGCUAAAUAUUCAUUUUAGAGGUAACAAGCACUUUUAUUAAAACAGAUUGUACUAUUGUACAGUGCUGUGAUACAAGUAUAUAUUUGGAUUAUGUAGAUUUGACUGAGACUAAUUGUAUUUACUUUUUUAUUUGUUUGAACCCCAGAUGGUGAAAAAGGAGAUGAACAACACAAUUUCACUGGUUUGUUGUCUUAACAGAGGUAAGUAGUAGUAGCAGUAGUAGAGGUAAGUAGUCUUGUUCUUGAAGUGCGGUGCAUUGAAUGAUGUUGCAAACAGCAUGACUUCUUACCGGUCAAUGAGACGGAGGAUAAUAAGGGAUGUAAGUAGGAUAGAAAAAGAAAGCUACACAGUUCAGCUCUGCAUGAACAGGAAUAGACCCUUUUCACAAAAUACUGGAAAUACAGAAGCGCUGGAUAAACAAAUUCCUGUUCUGCUUUACCUCAGACACUCACACAUUCUCAUCACUUCAGCUCAUCACCCAAUGUUUUACCUUUUUAAUCAUUGCUAAUCGUCUCUGGGUCUGUUAAACAAUUUACAGCUGGAGAGACUUAAAGAAAUCAGUGACAAAUUAACAAAUACACGCGCAGGAGACGUCUCUACUGAAUGAAUGGCUCAGUCUCCAACCGCUCCAUAUUCUCUAUCUAGUGAACUAAUAAAAACAGCCUGUAUGCCCAAAUAUUUCAUUAUAUUAAAGCAGAAGGAAGACGACUACUUCCAGCCACGGAUAACAAGGCUCUCUGCUUAACAGUUAAAGUUCGAUUAAGGUCUAGAGGACAUUUUUUCAUGUUUCUUAGUGUACUUAUAGGUUUAGAUAGUGAUUUGGGACUCGGUCCAGAAUAUCUUGUGCCCAAAAGCUCUUGGCUUCUUUAAAGCAACACAAUUUCAGCUUGAAUAACCUUAAGUGCAGUAGAAAACUGUGAAAUAGUGAUUGAUGCUUGUACAUGAAGGUGCGCUGUGAAAAGUGCUCUCCUCUAUUAACAGGAAUAGGUAAAUACAGGGUGAUUCAGAAAGAUUCAUCUGAUUUCAAAAUGAUUUAUUUCACUUGUAAAUCAUUACAGAAUAAUGCAGUAGAGUGUAAAUUGUUUAAGUGAGCAUAAAGUUUAUUAUGUAAUUGUAUAUGUGCUCAGUAUGAACCUCUUCCAGCUGUACGGACAACAUCAACGCCAUAUUCAGAUUCAUCCCAUACUCAAUUGAGCAUGUCGGGUGUCGCUGCACUCACGGCUCUUUCAGUGCGAUUUCAGAGAUCUUCCAGUGUUGUGGAACCAACGACAAGCACUCCGAGCUGUUGGAGCUUCACUGCCCACGAAAAUCACGCUGCACAGUUAUGACUGAUUUACUCUUAUUGAAGUGGAGAACGCAGAACGCUUUCUGCUCCGGGGUCGCAUCACCUCGCAGACUGAAGGGAGUCAGUCAGAAACUCUAUGACUACCUCUUUCAGUUGGAUUGUGAUUGGUUCCUAGGUGCCUCACAGUUGUAGAAAUACGGUGCUUUGAAAUGGGAUUAAUCUUUUUGAAUCGCCCUGUAUUAUGAAAUGUGAUGCAUAGUGUACUGUAGUGUCAGAGUCAGACAUGUUGCAGAUUUUGGCUGAGUUUGUUGUUUCACAUGCUUUUUAUCUGCAAAAACCUUGAAGAAGCCAAGAGCUCUGUGGUAGGACGAGAUAUUUUGGACCGAGUCCUGAAUCAAUUUCUACACCCUGCAUAAGUGCACUAAGAAUUAAAGUCAUUAAAAAACUACACGUUAAUCGAACUUUAAUUGUUAAGCAGAGAGCCUUGUUAUCCAUGGCUGGAUGUAGUCGUCUUCCUUCUGCUUUACUAUAAUGAAAUAUUUGGGCAUACAGGCUGUUUUUAUUAGUUCACUAGAUAGAGAAUAUGGAGUGGUUGGAGACUGAGCCAUUGAUUCAGUAGAUUUUAGGCACCCAAGCACAUUAUUUAAUUAAUUAGAACACAUACAGGUAAACAUAAAAACAGGAAAAAGAAAGCAGAACGUCUCUUGUCAAAGUUUGGGUCCAGAUUUCACCUCCCAGUGUGUGUUUGUUCAGUUCCAUCACCAGCUCAUCCCUUAGCCAAUCAGAGGUAUCGUAUAUAUCUGUAAUAUUACAUGCAAAUUUUUAUACCAAUUCUGAAAUCUCAUUGGCUGAGCAGUGUUUCGAGCUGUAUGUACAUGUUUAUUGCAAACAUUGUAGAAACCUUAUUUAAUCUAAUGUUUAUUUUUGCAUGUGUCCAGGUUUGCACCAGAGACCAUGAUACGAUGUAUUUUGCGGUCAGCCUUGACCAACUGUUAGUUAACCAAGACCUGUCAUUUCAGCUGGGCUGGGAAAUGAAAGGAGAGACCGUUCAAAGACAGGCUUUGAAAGACUGCAUAUUUGGUGUCAGCAACAUAAAUCACUGACGCUGAUGGUCUUUCCUGAUGUGGUCAAGAAGCGGCUGCGUUAUGCACCAGAAAGGGAGGGGUGCGUUCCCAGAAACACAAGCCGUAGUUGACUUUCUAAAUUGAACCUUUGCUUUAUUUUGUAACUGUAAAUGAAAAUGACUCAUUAAAAGGUCUCAUCAG